rnacentral:rRNA from 1 species
UACAGAGGUCCCAAGCGUUGUUCGGAUUCACUGGGCGUAAAGGGUGCGUAGGUGGUGAGGUAAGUCGGAUGUGAAAGCUCGGAGCUCAACUCCGAAAUGGCAUUGGAAACUACCUUGCUCGAGGGUUGGAGGGGGGACUGGAAUACUUGGUGUAGCAGUGAAAUGCGUAGAUAUCAAGGAGACACCAGUGGCGAAGGCGAGUCCCUGGACAACUCCUGACACUGAGGCACGAAAGCUAGGGGAGCAAACAGG